AGGGUCUCCAAGCCUCUACCCAAGUUAACUCCAGGGAUUGGGAGAAGCAAAAUCCUCUCCCUUGGCCUGGGUUGUUCAGAUGCUCAGUGGAAAGGUGAAUCAUAGAGAGAAGCUCUCUGCCUCUUUCAGCUACUGAGUCUUCACUCAUUUUUAUCAGCUAGAUUCCAUCAUGGGGGCUGCUUGCUAUCAUCCUCCUCUCCAGGAUCUGGGAUGUCCUUCAAAAUUCUGGUUCAGUUUAAAUGGCAUCUUCUUAGAGACAGUC
rnacentral:lncRNA from 1 species